GAUGAACGCUGGCGGCGUGCCUAAUACAUGCAAGUCGAGCGAACGGACGAGAAGCUUGCUUCUCUGAUGUUAGCGGCGGACGGGUGAGUAACACGUGGAUAACCUACCUAUAAGACUGGGAUAACUUCGGGAAACCGUAGCUAAUACCGGAUAAUAUUUUGAACCGCAUGGUUCAAAAGUGAAAGACGGUCUUGCUGUCACUUAUAGAUGGAUCCGCGCUGCAUUAGCUAGUUGGUAAGGUAACGGCUUACCAAGGCAACGAUGCAUAGCCGACCUGAGAGGGUGAACGGCCACACUGGAACGGAGACACGGCCCAGACGCCAACGGGAGGCAGCAGUAGGGAAUCUUCCGCAAUGGGCGAAAGCAUGACGGAGCAACGCCGCGUGAGUGAUGAAGGUCUUCGGAUCGUAAAACGCUGUUAUUAGGGAAGAACAUAUGUGUAAGUAACUGUGCAGAUCUUGACGGGACCUAAUCAGAAAGCCACGGCUAACUACGU
rnacentral:rRNA from 1 species